rnacentral:rRNA from 2 species
ACGCGGCGGCGUGCUAAUACAUGCAAGUCGAACGAAACUUUCUUACACCGAAUGCUUGCAUUCACCGUAAGAAGUUGAGUGGCGGACGGGUGAGUAACACGUGGGUAACCUGCCUAAAAGAAGGGGAUAACACUUGGAAACAGGUGCUAAUACCGUAUAUCUCUAAGGAUCGCAUGAUCCUUAGAUGAAAGAUGGUUCUGCUAUCGCUUUUAGAUGGACCCGCGGCGUAUUAACUAGUUGGUGGGGUAACGGCCUACCAAGGUGAUGAUACGUAGCCGAACUGAGAGGUUGAUCGGCCACAUUGGGACUGAGACACGGCCCAAACUCCUACGGGAGGCAGCAGUAGGGAAUCUUCCACAAUGGACGCAAGUCUGAUGGAGCAACGCCGCGUGAGUGAAGAAGGUCUUCGGAUCGUAAAACUCUGUUGUUAGAGAAGAACACGAGUGAGAGUAACUGUUCAUUCGAUGACGGUAUCUAACCAGCAAGUCACGGCUAACUACGUGCCAGCAGCCGCGGUAAUACGUAGGUGGCAAGCGUUGUCCGGAUUUAUUGGGCGUAAAGGGAACGCAGGCGGUCUUUUAAGUCUGAUGUGAAAGCCUUCGGCUUAACCGGAGUAGUGCAUUGGAAACUGGAAGACUUGAGUGCAGAAGAGGAGAGUGGAACUCCAUGUGUAGCGGUGAAAUGCGUAGAUAUAUGGAAGAACACCAGUGGCGAAAGCGGCUCUCUGGUCUGUAACUGACGCUGAGGUUCGAAAGCGUGGGUAGCAACAGAUA